rnacentral:ncRNA from 1 species
CAGAGUAGAUAUGUGAGCGUUAAGUGCCAUGCGGACGGGGAGUUGCCGUGCGGACGAAAAGUUAUCUUGCGGUUCACAUUUCGCAUCCCGCUG